GAUGAACGCUGGCGGCGUGCCUAAUACAUGCAAGUCGAGCGAACGGACGAGAAGCUUGCUUCUCUGAUGUUAGCGGCGGACGGGUGAGUAACACGUGGAUAACCUACCUAUAAGACUGGGAUAACUUCGGGAAACCGGAGCUAAUACCGGAUGAUAUUUUGAACCGCAUGGUUCAAAAGUGAAAGACGGUCUUGCUGUCACUUAUAGAUGGAUCCGCGCUGCAUUAGCUAGUUGGUAAGGUAACGGCUUACCAAGGCAACGAUGCAUAGCCGACCUGAGAGGGUGAUCGGCCACACUGGAACUGAGACACGGUCCAGACUCCUACGGGAGGCAGCAGUAGGGAAUCUUGCGCAAUGGGCGAAAGCCUGACGGAGCAACGCCGCGUGAGUGAUGAAGGUCUUCGGAUCGUAAAGCUCUGUUAUUGGGGAAGAACAUAUGUGUAAGUAACUGUGCACGUCUUGACGGUACCUAAUCAGAAAGCCACGGCUAACUACGUG
rnacentral:rRNA from 1 species